rnacentral:lncRNA from 1 species
GCCUUGUGGCCCAUCUGUCAGCACCAGGGUGUGGCUACUGGCAUGUGACACAGGAAGUCUUCAGAGAGCCAAGGGCUGGGGCACCUGCCAGCUCCUGCUCCUUGAGGCAAAAAUAAGUCUGAAACCAACUAAACUAGUCCAGGAAAGGAAAGGACCUGCCUAAGGUCACACAGCAAGAGUGACAUUCUAGGACUAGAAGGCAGGCCUUCUCCCAUUAGAUGAGACCAGGUGCCACCUGGGUCCAGAUCUGCAGCUCCCAAAGCUGAGAACUAAAGUAGACUUGGAAGUUGAUUCAAGAGGGCUGUGUUGCUGGCUUGGAGGAAAGAAAACAAGUCAAACCCCAUGGAAGGCAGAGUGGACUGUGUGAGGAAUGAAGGAUUCAGCAUGGCCCUGGGAGUUAACAGACAAAGUUAG